rnacentral:rRNA from 1 species
GCCAGCAGCCAUAUCGCAACUGGCAGCCCACUGAAGCUCAGCAGGUGUGAGCCUGGUCAGUACCUGGAUGGGAGACCUCCUGGGGAAAACUAAGGUUGCUGCUGGAA